UAACAGCCCGGUAGUUGAAAUGGCUUUCCCUCCAGAGUGGAUCCUGAGUACGGCGGAACACGUGAAAUUCCGUCGGAAUCCGGGAGGACCAUCUCCCAAGGCUAAAUACUCCCUAGUGACCGAUAGUGAACCAGUACCGUGAGGGAAAGGUGAAAAGCACCCCGGAAGGGGAGUGAAACAGUUCCUGAAACCGUGUGCCUACAAGUAGUUAGAGCCCGUUAAUGGGUGAUAGCGUGCCUUUUGUAGAAUGAACCGGCGAGUUACGAUUUGUUGCAAGGUUAAGCGGAAAAAGCGGAGCCGUAGCGAAAGCGAGUCUGAAUAGGGCGCAUAAGUAACAGGUCGUAGACCCGAAACCAGGUGAUCUACCCAUGUCCAGGAUGAAGGUAAGGUAAUACUUACUGGAGGUCCGAACCCACGCACGUUGAAAAGUGCGGGGAUGAGGUGUGGGUAGCGGAGAAAUUCCAAUCGAACUUGGAGAUAGCUGGUUCUCUCCGAAAUAGCUUUAGGGCUAGCCUCGAGGUAAAGAGUCAUGGAGGUAGAGCACUGUUUGGACUAGGGGCCCUUCUCGGGUUACCGAAUUCAGAUAAACUCCGAAUGCCAUGUACUUAUACUCGGGAGUCAGACUGCGAGUGAUAAGAUCCGUAGUCGAAAGGGAAACAGCCCAGACCACCAGUUAAGGUCCCCAAAUAUAUGUUAAGUGGAAAAGGAUGUGGGGUUGCUUAGACAACCAGGAUGUUGGCUUAGAAGCAGCCACCAUUGAAAGAGUGCGUAAUAGCUCACUGGUCGAGUGACCCCGCGCCGAAAAUGUACCGGGGCUAAACAUAUUACCGAAACUGUGGAUGAACCUCUUUAGAGGUUCGUGGUAGGAGAGCGUUCUAAGGGCGGUGAAGUCAGACCGGAAGGACUGGUGGAGCGCUUAGAAGUGAGAAUGCCGGUAUGAGUAGCGAAAGAAGGGUGAGAAUCCCUUCCACCGAAUAUCUAAGGUUUCCUGAGGAAGGCUCGUCCGCUCAGGGUUAGUCGGGACCUAAGCCGAGGCCGAUAGGCGUAGGCGAUGGACAACAGGUAGAGAUUCCUGUACCAGUGCUAAUUGUUUAACCGAUGGGGUGACACAGAAGGAUAGGGAAUCGCACGAAUGGAAAUGUGCGUCCAAGCAGUGAGUGUGAGAAGUAGGCAAAUCCGCUUCUCGCGAAGCAUGAGCUGUGAUGGGGAAGGAAAUUAAGUACGGAAGUUCCUGAUUUCACGCUGUCAAGAAAAGCCUCUAGGAAGAGUAGUACUGCCCGUACCGCAAACCGACACAGGUAGAUGAGGAGAGAAUCCUAAGGUGAGCGAGAGAACUCUCGUUAAGGAACUCGGCAAAAUGACCCCGUAACUUCGGGAGAAGGGGUGCUCUAUUAGGGUGCAAGCCCGAGAGAGCCGCAGUGAAUAGGCCCAGGCGACUGUUUAGCAAAAACACAGGUCUCUGCAAAACCGUAAGGUGACGUAUAGGGGCUGACGCCUGCCCGGUGCUGGAAGGUUAAGAGGAGUGCUUAGCUUCGGCGAAGGUACGAAUUGAAGCCCCAGUAAACGGCGGCCGUAACUAUAACGGUCCUAAGGUAGCGAAAUUCCUUGUCGGGUAAGUUCCGACCCGCACGAAAGGCGCAACGAUCUGGGCACUGUCUCAACGAGAGACUCGGUGAAAUUAUAGUACCUGUGAAGAUGCAGGUUACCCGCGACAGGACGGAAAGACCCCGUGGAGCUUUACUGCAACCUGAUAUGGAAUGUUUGUACCGCUUGUACAGGAUAGGUAGGAGCCGAAGAGACGUGUGCGCUAGCAUACGAGGAGGCAAUGGUGGGAUACUACCCUGGCUGUAUGACCAUUCUAACCCGCCACGCUUAGCGCGUGGGGAGACAGUGUCAGGUGGGCAGUUUGACUGGGGCGGUCGCCUCCUAAAGAGUAACGGAGGCGCCCAAAGGUUCCCUCAGAAUGGAUGGAAAUCAUUCGCAGAGUGUAAAGGCACAAGGGAGCUUGACUGCGAGACUGACAAGUCGAGCAGGGACGAAAGUCGGGCUUAGUGAUCCGGUGGUUCCGCAUGGAAGGGCCAUCGCUCAACGGAUAAAAGCUACCCCGGGGAUAACAGGCUUAUCUCCCCCAAGAGUCCACAUCGACGGGGAGGUUUGGCACCUCGAUGUCGGCUCGUCGCAUCCUGGGGCUGUAGUCGGUCCCAAGGGUUGGGCUGUUCGCCCAUUAAAGCGGCACGCGAGCUGGGUUCAGAACGUCGUGAGACAGUUCGGUCCCUAUCCGUCGCGGGCGCAGGAAAUUUGAGAGGAGCUGUCCUUAGUACGAGAGGACCGGGAUGGACACACCGCUGGUGUACCAGUUGUUCCGCCAGGAGCAUCGCUGGGUAGCUAUGUGUGGCAGGGAUAAACGCUGAAAGCAUCUAAGCGUGAAGCCCCCCUCAAGAUGAGAUUUCCCAUUUCUUCGGAAAGUAAGAUCCCUGAAAGAUGAUCAGGUAGAUAGGUUUGGAGUGGAAGUGUAGCGAUACAUGGAGCGGACAAAUACUAAUCGAUCGAGGACUUAACCAAAA
rnacentral:rRNA from 1 species